AGAGUUUGAUCAUGGCUCAGAUUGAACGCUGGCGGCAGGCCUAACACAUGCAAGUCGAGCGGUAACAGGGGUAGCUUGCUACCCGCUGACGAGCGGCGGACGGGUGAGUAAUGCAUAGGAAUCUGCCCGAUAGUGGGGGAUAACCUGGGGAAACCCAGGCUAAUACCGCAUACGUCCUACGGGAGAAAGGGGGCUUUGGCUCCCGCUAUUGGAUGAGCCUAUGUCGGAUUAGCUAGUUGGUAAGGUAAUGGCUUACCAAGGCAACGAUCCGUAGCUGGUCUGAGAGGAUGAUCAGCCACAUCGGGACUGAGACACGGCCCGAACUCCUACGGGAGGCAGCAGUGGGGAAUAUUGGACAAUGGGGGCAACCCUGAUCCAGCCAUGCCGCGUGUGUGAAGAAGGCCCUCGGGUUGUAAAGCACUUUCAGCGAGGAAGAACGCCUGUCGGUUAAUACCCGGUAGGAAAGACAUCACUCGCAGAAGAAGCACCGGCUAACUCCGUGCCAGCAGCCGCGGUAAUACGGAGGGUGCAAGCGUUAAUCGGAAUUACUGGGCGUAAAGCGCGCGUAGGUGGCUUGAUAAGCCGGUUGUGAAAGCCCCGGGCUCAACCUGGGAACGGCAUCCGGAACUGUCAGGCUAGAGUGCAGGAGAGGAAGGUAGAAUUCCCGGUGUAGCGGUGAAAUGCGUAGAGAUCGGGAGGAAUACCAGUGGCGAAGGCGGCCUUCUGGACUGACACUGACACUGAGGUGCGAAAGCGUGGGUAGCAAACAGGAUUAGAUACCCUGGUAGUCCACGCCGUAAACGAUGUCGACCAGCCGUUGGGUGCCUAGAGCACUUUGUGGCGAAGUUAACGCGAUAAGUCGACCGCCUGGGGAGUACGGCCGCAAGGUUAAAACUCAAAUGAAUUGACGGGGGCCCGCACAAGCGGUGGAGCAUGUGGUUUAAUUCGAUGCAACGCGAAGAACCUUACCUACCCUUGACAUCUACAGAAGCCGGGAAGAGAUUCCGGGUGUGCCUUUCGGGAACUGUAAGACAGGUGCUGCAUGGGCUGUCGUCAGCUCGUGUUGUGAAAUGUUGGGUUAAGUCCCGUAACGGAGGCGCAACCCUUGUUCC
rnacentral:rRNA from 1 species